rnacentral:rRNA from 1 species
UACGAGUGCCUCAAGCGUUAUCCGGAAUCAUUGGGCGUAAAGGGUGUGUAGGUGGUCAUAUUAGUCUUCUGUUAAAUUUCCCAGCUUAACUGGGAACAUGCAGGAGAAACGGUAUGACUAGAGGAUGCAAGGGGUCUGUGGAACUCAUAGUGUAGCGGUGAAAUGCGUUGAUAUUAUGGGGAACACCAAAAGCGAAGGCAACAGACUAGGGCACUCCUGACACUGAAACACGAAAGCGUGGGUAGCGAAUGGG